GAUGAACGCUGGCGGCGUGCUUAACACAUGCAAGUCGAACGAAGCUUUUCUGCGGAUCCUUCGGGUGAAGGAGGAAAUGACUGAGUGGCGGACGGGUGAGUAACGCGUGGGUAACCUGCCUCAUACAGGGGGAUAGCAGUUGGAAACGACUGAUAAUACCGCAUAAGCGCACGAGAUCGCAUGAUCAUGUGUGAAAAACUCCGGUGGUAUGAGAUGGAUCCGCGUCUGAUUAGCUUGUUGGUGGGGUAACGGCUCACCAAGGCGACGAUCAGUAGCCGACCUGAGAGGGUGACCGGCCACAUUGGGACUGAGACACGGCCCAAACUCC
rnacentral:rRNA from 1 species